CAUCCGGGGGACAGCUGUCAACCAGAGGCGGAGGUUCUCAACCCCCUUUCCCCCACACAUGUUUCCCCUAUCAUUCCUCCUCUUGUUCUCUUCUAUAUAAGUAUCGCACCUCUCUCUCUCUCUCUCUCUCUCUCUGUGUAUGUUUCGCUUUCGAUCCAGAGGGUGUUACUGGGGUUUAAGCGCAUCGUCUCCACUACCAAACCCGAGAUUGCAACCAAGCAAUCUUAUCUUGUGGUUUCUCCGGCCAGGGCUUAUUCAAUUCGAAGCUGGUCGUUGUUGGAGAGCUGUCUUCUGAGCUCAACUCCUUCUGCUGUUUCGAUGCUCGAAGUAGAUCCAAAACCCUAGAAAUGGCCGCAUUUUAUCAGCUUUGGAAGGAAGGGUAAUCGAUGAAAUGAUGAUUUAUGGGUGAGUAAUGCAAGUUUUGGGGAAUUUGUUACAAUAAAUGGUGCAUUUGGGUGUGCAACAUCGAAUGAAGUGAUAUGAGGUGUUGAAUAUGAGCAAUGGAGGUCGGGAGAGUGAAAGAGAGCCUGAAAAACCAGCUGCUCAGAGGAAACCCAGUGGCGUUGAAUUUGCCCAGGCAAUUGCAAAGAUUGCGGUAGCACAAAUAUGUGAGAGCGAGGGGUUUCAAACUUUUCAGCAGUCUGCUCUUGAAACACUAUCUGAUGUUGCUGUUCGGUAUAUUCGUGAUGUUGGGAAGACCGCGCAUUACUAUGCUAAUCUAGCAGGUAGAACGGAGUGCAACGUUUUUGAUAUUAUUCAAGGUUUGGAGGAUUUGGGUUCGGCACAGGGAUUUUUGGGUGCUUCAGAGAUUGAGCAUUGCCUUGCAAGUUCAGGAACAGUUAGGGAACUUGCUCAGUAUGUUGGUGAAGCUGAUCAGAUCCCAUUUUCCUAUUCUCUUCCUCAGUUUCCAGUUGUUAAAGACCGAAAGCUAACUCCAAGUUUUUUGCAAAUUGGGGAAGAGCCUCCGGGUGAGCAUAUACCCGCUUGGUUGCCUGCGUACCCUGAUCCCAGCACUUAUGCUCAGUCAUCUACUAGGAAUGAGAGGUCGGCAGAACCUCCGCCGGCUAAAAUUGAGCAGGAAAAUCAGCACAGAAAGGAAGAAAGGUCUUCAUUGAACUUUCAUCAACAGUUGGGUCGUAAUGGGUUGGAAGGACACUCCUUGCUCAUCCCUGGAGAUGCUUCUAAGGCAAAAAAAGCAACAGAAAGUAACCCAUUUCUUGCUGCACCUCUACAAUUUGGUGAAAAGGAGGUGUCUCCUGUUGUUCUUCCAGCUAAGGCUAAACUUUCAAAUGAAGCAACUAUGGGAAAUCCUAUGAUGGAAAAUCAUGGAAUGGAUAACCAUAUCUCAGUAUUAGAGGCAUUUGCUCCAGAUAUUGAAGCAAUGAAGAGCAGAUUAUGUGAUACUGAGGAGGGACCGAAAAAGGUUCUUCUGAACAGCAGGCCAACUGUGCAAUUUAAGAUCGGAAUUGGAAAGAAGUCCUUUGGUACAAUGCUAGAUUUGAGCCCAGAGAACGAAAGUUUUGAGGUAGCUGCACCCUGGUUUGGGAGGGAAAAUGAAAAGGACGACAAGAAGAGGAGGGCUGAGAAAAUUAUGAAAGAAUCUAUGAGAAACACAAUGGAACUUGAUCAUUUGUAAAUUAGGCUUGUUUGAUUAGAAUUUGUAUACUUGUUUAGGAGACUGGCAGCAGAAGAUGGUUCCAUGGUAGUCAUAGUCAAGGGCAUAAUGUUGUCUGCAUAGGGCAUAAUAGUUUGGAUAUUACAAACUGCCAGAUGGAAAUGUUCCCACUUUAACAAGGUUUUGAGUAACCACUUGCAGGGUCAUGGUACUUGGUUUCCACAUUUCAACAUCAUAUGUGGUGUCUUAUGGCCAAGUUGAUUUCAGCUAUAGAAAACAACUGAUUUUAAGAUGCGGGAAUUGGUUUACUGGCUAUCAAUGGAUUAAAUAUGUUGAAGUUCUACUAUACGAAAUCUAUGGUGUCAAAUGUACAAGAACUGCACCUUUAGAGGCAUUUGAUAUCUUCUUCACAGGAGAUGGCGACUCAUCUCUGUAAAAUGUAGCAUCAAGAACAGAGACAGGACUUGGUUGUUCCAAGGUAGCUAUUGCAGGUUCUACCAUCAACCUGUCUUUGCCGAACCCUUCUGGAUUCUGAAUGAGAGAAAACAAUACCUGUUAGCCAGAUAUUUAAAAUGCUUCUGUGGGCAAAUAAAAAUCAAGGACACUUACCUCUUGUUUCUGGCAAUAGUGCUGGAAGAAGGUGGUAUUGAUCUUAUCAGAUUUAUUGGUGCUUGUAACUUGUGUGUCAAUAUGAGAGCCUGAGCUAAUGUUGCUCUCAGAUUGCAGAGAAACGGUGUCACCUUGGUGACUUAAAUCUCUCAUGUCACUGCUGGUCUUGCUCAAUUGGUCAUUGCAUUGCUGCAAACUGUGAGAUUUUAGUCUGAGUUUUCUACCUGGUGAGUUUGAUCCUGUUGGUUGUCUUGUACAUUGGCUAAUGAUCUUGCUUGAAUCUGAUGACGAGAUGGUGUGAGGUGACUCCUGCUGCAAUCUGAAAUUCCUUUGUUGCAGUCUCGGGCUCACAGUAACUGAGCUUGUCUUUUUUUCUCCAAUGAUGUGUCCGGGCACCUUUAAGGCUGAUGUUGAUUUUGAAGUUUUUGCAUGUGUUUUCUUAUCUGUGGAGCGAGACGGUGGACUGCAAUGGUCUUUUAGAUGAUUGCUUCUUGGAGUUAUAUCUUUAGCUGUUCGCAUGUCAACCUUUCUCCCGUCUGCAGUGUCACCAUGCUUGCAGAGACCUGACAUACUUUCAGUUGGAAUUAUGGUGGAAGCAUGAUCACAUGUUCUUCUGAUAAGGUUAACUGGUUUCAUGAUGACUGUUGGGGAUUUAUAACUCUUUGGAGAAUGAGACCCCUUGACUGUGGAAGAAAUUGGGUCCUUAUUUUGUAGCUUUCUUGGGCUUGCUAAAUUUGAGGUUUGAUGAGAACUGCUACUGUUGCUUGUUUGAGAUGCAAAAUUGGAAGCCUGUUCUCUUUUGGUAUCUAAUGCUUCUUUCGUCUUCUGCAUUGAUUCAAGUAUCUGUUUAAGAGCUCUGAGAUCCUUUCCAGAUUUUUUGAACUCAAGUUUGGCCAGCCUUUGUUCAAUUUCACCAUAAACAGAGAGGGAGGAGUUUGAGGCUUUUGUGGUACCUUCCUCAUACUUGAAAUUUGUUUGUUGAGAAUCUCUGCUCCCAUCUGGCUGCCUCCAUGGAGCUGGAUCUGUUGGAAACCUUGAAGCCGAGGUGGGCCGCAUAACUGAUUCAACAUUUUUCAACCUGGCUAAGAUGGGGUCCUUCCUCGGGGACCCAGAAAUUUGAUUUUGCUUGUUUCCAUCAGUUCUUGAUGCUUUUGAGAAGGGAACAGAUUUAUCUGUUCGGCAGCUACUAAUAAUCCCUGAUGGAUUCUCACUUGUCCACGUUGACUGUGGGAAAGCUUCCACUCCCAUCAACUUUGCAACAACGCUGGAAGAUCGUGUGGAACUUUCUGGUUCUUGCUGCUGGUUAAGCAUCUUGCUGGAGUUCCCAUUCCUUCUCUGCAGAUCCUUCACAAGAAAAUUUGAUUUUGUUUCAGAGGUAGUACCCCUUAUGGAGCCUUCUCUGCUGUCCAAUGAUAGCCUUGGUAGUUCUUUGAGCUUUAUGGUGGACUUGCAAGCAUAUUGUGAUAGCCUUCCAUCAUAAGAGAGCCGGGGAGCAUCCUUCAGUGAUGAAAGCUUACGACCAUCUUUCUCUUCCUGGUAAUUCCUAGAUGCUUCCCGGUGUUUAGCAAGAACGCGAAAUGAAUCAUCGAGACUGGAAGCUCUGGGCUUGACAGGUUUGGGUGGCUGCAAAGGCCUUGGGGAAUCUAUGUAUACCAAGGUACUCACCACUGCUUCCUCUUUACCAGCAGUUUUUACUGAUAAUGCACGGGCUUCUCUGUAGAUAGAAUCUUUAACAACAUAUCGGAUAUCAGGGGAUUGCUGGCUUAACUGCAAAGGAGCGUUUGUUUUUUUCAUGGGGCGAGUGGGGGUUUCAGGGAAAAUGGGUUGAUUAAACGAAGAUGCUGUUUUGUCAUACUGAUCUAUAGAGGAGAAGCCAGAUGAACAUGAGGAAGAUGAAAGAGAGGUUUUGGAUGAUUCUUUGGAGACUCUCUCUCUCUCUUUCACCAACUUGUUCCGAUCUUUUUCCUGCAAAAUUGUAAGUGAAAAUAUGCUCAAAUGCUUCUGCUAGAAACAAGCGUCGUUGUAACGAUUGAAGUUUAAAAUUCUUACUGUA